rnacentral:lncRNA from 1 species
ACUCCUAGGGGAAGACUGACUUCCAGGAAGCUAGGAGGAGGGUCUCAAAGCCCACUCCCACAGUAACACACCUACUUCAACAGGGCGACACCUCCUAUUAGUACCACUUCCUGGGCCAAACAUAUUCAAAUCACCACACUAUAUCUUUCACAAGGUAUUUAACUUCUCUGUGCCUCAGUUUUCUUAUCUAUAGAAAGGGACUUGCUUUGUAAGAUUGAUCUGAGGGUUAAAUGUGUUACUAUAUAUAAGAACUCCCUGAAAUGGUAUCUUUGCACUCAAGGUUAACCUAUUCACUCAGGCUUUGAAUUUAAUAAACUUGUAACUUCAUUAGUGGGGCCUUUCUCUAUUCUUUAAUUUUUGCUCCUCAAAAUAAAACUAAAACAAUCUUCUACCCAAAUAAAAGCCUUUAUACAUUUACACCACAUGAAAGCAGGGAAAUUCUUUAGUUUCAUAUUCAUGAAUUUUCCAUCUUGCAUUUUUUCUUAUAUUACCAUUAUUUGUGGGUUUAAAAUGUGUAUUAUAGUUUGUUUGCUGCAUAUUUCUAAAUUUUAUCACCUUUACCUUUGCCUACUAUCUAUUCAGUCUCAGUCAUGAAUGACUAAGUCUCCAAGAAGCAUUAUGUAAUAAAAUGAUAAUAAUAGCCUUUUCUUUUAUCAUUAUAAAUUAGAUUUCUUCAAAAAAUAUACUUGGAUUCUUUAUGAUUGCUAUUUUUUUUUUUUUACAGAAUCUAGAGUUGCCAAAAAAUAAAAUCUCUGCAGGUGUGAAUAUAAUAGGAGAAAGUACUUUUUUUUACUAAAUUUAUCUGUAUAUUGUGAUAUGCUUUAAUAUAGUUUUUAAUAUUUUCAGUUAGUUUGAUUUUUUCGAACGUUUCUUCUCUAGGUUUUUUCUGACAUAAUUUACACGGUUGCAAGCUGCACUGAAAAUGAAGCUAGUCGGUAUGGGAGAUUUCUUUGCUGUAUGUUAGAGACGGUGACCAGGUGGCAUAGUGAUAGAGCCACAUAUGAAAAGGUAUAUAAUUAACAAAUAUGUUUAUAUUUUACUUGUAUAUGUAUUGUAUUACUUGUAUUACUUGUAUAUGUAUUGUAUAUGUAUAUAUAUUGCUUCAGAUUGGUCAGUUUUAAAAGAAUUUAAGACUCAGCUAUAAAGUGAUACUUAAAAUCAUAAUAUAUCAUAAAAAGUAUGUUUUUUAUUCUAUUUCAACUUGAUAUUUCAAGUUAUUAUCAUUGGGUAAGCUGAACCAUUCUUUUACAUAAAGAGUCACUGAUCUGGUCUUAUUCUCCUAUUUUGUGGGAUGAAUUUUACCUCUAAAAAUGAGAAACUUAUUUUUCUUAGGAAUGUGGAAACUAUCCAGGAUUCCUUACCAUAUUACGGGCAACUGGAUUUGAUGGUGGAAAUAAAGCUGAUCAGUUAGAUUAUGAAAAUUUUCGACACGUUGUCCACAAAUGGCAUUACAAACUAACCAAGGUAAAAUAUAGUAGAUAUUUUUCAAAGAUUUUUUUUCCUCUUCAAACCUGUAUUUUAUGAUAAUCGUUCUUUCAACAUCUGUUAUAGGCAUCAGUACAUUGCCUUGAGACGGGCGAAUAUACUCACAUCAGGAAUAUAUUGAUUGUACUAACAAAAAUACUUCCUUGGUACCCAAAAGUUUUGAAUCUGGGUCAGGCUUUGGAGAGAAGAGUGAAUAAAAUAUGCCAAGAAGAAAAAGAGAAGAGGCCAGAUCUUUAUGCAUUGGCUAUGGGGUAACACAAUUAUAUUUUAAUGUAACUUAUAACACUAGAUUACAGAAGGAUUCUGAAGAUGUGAAAAUGUUUUACAAUGUUGAAGUCUUAUCUUCUGCUUUACUUCAGGAGAUUAUGGGAGAUUAUGCGAUCAUGUUCCCACAGGCUGGUGAGAGUUGUCACUUCUGAUUAUCAACUUCCGGUCUAUACUGGAUGAUAGUUUCAAAGAAAUAUAUUUCUUGAUGGGGGGAGAUAUAAUUUUUAAUAGUUCUCACAUCUUGAGU